AACGAACGCUGGCGGCAUGCCUAACACAUGCAAGUCGAACGAGACCUUCGGGUCUAGUGGCGCACGGGUGCGUAACGCGUGGGAACCUGCCCUUAGGUUCGGAAUAACUCCCCGAAAGGGGUGCUAAUACCGGAUAAUGUCUUCGGACCAAAGAUUUAUCGCCUUUGGAUGGGCCCGCGUUGGAUUAGCUAGUUGGUAGGGUAAAAGCCUACCAAGGCGACGAUCCAUAGCUGGUCUGAGAGGAUGAUCAGCCACACUGGGACUGAGACACGGCCCAGACUCCUACGGGGGGAGGAGGGGGGGAAUAGGGAAAAAGGGGCGAAGGCUUGAACACGCAUGGCCGGGGGAGGAAGAAGGCCUUGGGGUUUGAAAAUCUUUUUUCCCCGGGAGUAUAAUGACAGUCCGGGGAAAAAAAGCCCCGGCUAGCCCCGUC
rnacentral:rRNA from 1 species